rnacentral:rRNA from 1 species
CUAUGGGGUGCAGCAGUCGCGAAACCUUUGCAAUAAGCGAAAGCUUGACAGGGCUAUCCCGAGUGCCAUCCGCUGAGGAAGGCUUUUACCCAGUCUAGAAAGCUGGGGGAAUAAGGAGAGGGCAAGUCUGGUGUCAGCCGCCGCGGUAAUACCAGCUCUUCGAGUGGUGUGGAUGUUUAUUGGGCCUAAAGCAUCCGUAGCUGGCUAGGUCAAUCCCUUGUUAAAUCCACCGAAUUAAUCGUUGGAUCGCGGGGGAUACUGCUUGGCUAGGGGACGAGAGAGGCAGACGGUAUUUUCGGGGUAGGGGUGAAAUCCUAUAAUCCCGGGAAGACCACCAGUGGCGAAGGCUGUCUGCUAGAACGCGCCCGACGGUGAGGGAUGAAAGCUGGGGGAGCGAACCGGAUUAGAUACCCGGGUAGUCCCAGCUGUAAACGAUGCAGACUAGGUGUUUGGACGGCCACGUGCCGUUCUAGUGCCGCAGGGAAGCUGUUAAGUCUGCCGCCUGGGGAGUACGAUCGCAAGAUUGAAACUUAAAGGAAUUGGCGGGGGAGCACCACAAGGGGUGAAGCUUGCGGUUUAAUUGGAGUCAACGCCGGAAAUCUCACCGGGAGCGACAGCAGUAUGAAAGCCAGAUUGAAGGUCUUGCUAGACGAGCUGAGAGGAGGUGCA